AACUCCGGGAAACCGGGGCUAAUACCGGAUAAUAUUUUGAACUGCAUGGUUCGAAAUUGAAAGGCGGCUUCGGCUGUCACUUAUGGAUGGACCCGCGUCGCAUUAGCUAGUUGGUGAGGUAACGGCUCACCAAGGCAACGAUGCGUAGCCGACCUGAGAGGGUGAUCGGCCACACUGGGACUGAGACACGGCCCAGACUCCUACGGGAGGCAGCAGUAGGGAAUCUUCCGCAAUGGACGAAAGUCUGACGGAGCAACGCCGCGUGAGUGAUGAAGGCUUUCGGGUCGUAAAACUCUGUUGUUAGGGAAGAACAAGUGCUAGUUGAAUAAGCUGGCACCUU
rnacentral:rRNA from 1 species